rnacentral:rRNA from 1 species
GACGAACGCUGGCGGCGUGCUUAACACAUGCAAGUCGAACGGUGAAGCGCCUUCUUGUUUGGGUGGUGGGGAUGAGAGGCGGACGGGUGCGUAACACGUGAGUAACCUGCCCCCUGCUUCUGGAUAACCGCAUGAAAGUUUGGCUAAUACGGGAUAUUCUGGUUCUGUGUCACGAUGGGUCUGGGACAGAUAUUGUUUCGGUGGGGGAUGAUCUCGGGGCCUAUCAGCUUGUUGGUGGGGUGAGGGCCUACCACGGCGGGGACGGGUAGCCGGCCUGAGAGGGUGUGCGGCCACGCCGGGACUGCGACGCGGGGCAGCAUUGGGCAGUAUUCAACAGUGGGGGAAAGCCUGCUGCGGCCGCGCCGCGUGUGCGACGGCGCCGCUCGGGUUGUGAACCUCUUUCGCUAGUGAAGCAGUCUUGCCUGGUUUGUAGGUGGGUUGACGGUAGCUGGAUAAGAAGCGCCGGCUAACUACGUG